rnacentral:tRNA from 1 species
GUGGCUGUAGCUCAAUCGGUUAGAGCACCAGACUGUGGAUCUGGACGUUGGGGGUUCGAGUCCCCUCAGCCACC